rnacentral:rRNA from 1 species
CCCUUAGAUGUUCUGGGCAGCACGCGCGCUACAAUGGUCUUCGCAAACGGAUGCAUUCUCGAAGGAGAAUGCCAAUCUUGGAAUCUAUGCCUUGGUCGGGACAGUUGCUUGCAAUUUUUCGACUCGAACCAGGAAUUCCUUGUAAUCGUGAUUCAUCACAUCACGAUGAUUACGUCCCUGCCCUUUGUACACACCGCCCGUCGCUCCUACCGAUUGAAUGGUCCGGUGAAGCGUUCGGACCGUGGCCUUUGGACGGUUCGCCGUCUGUUGGCUGCGGGAAGUUCGUUAAACCUUAUCAUUUAGAGGAAGGAGAAGUCGUAACA